CUGACACCCUCGUGUACUCUCUCCCCAGUGGACUUCGCUGGCGAGUGUUUGCACAUAUAUAAGGCUAAACACACUGUCAUAGCCGCAACAAAACAAGCCCCAGCAGCGAAACAGCUUCACAACACUCAUGAGACAUACUCCAAUGUGGCAGGGAAAAGGAAAAACUACCAUGGAGACAUUCUUCAAGCUAGAUGACAGUGGCCAGCAGAAUAUUUUUGUAAAUUUCUAGCAGUAGUUUCCAUUUAAGCAAUGGGGAACAGAAAACACAAAAUGUGCAAAGAGCUUCAAUUAUUAUCAUGUAUGCUUCCAGCAACAUGAAACAAUGAUGAUAAGCUCUAAUACCGUUUAACUGUGGUAGAAAAUAAGAUAAUAACCAGACAUCUGUAUAUAUAUUAAAGACGGUAGUUAUAUAAGUUGUUUAUGUGGUUUUAUA